rnacentral:tRNA from 1 species
GGAGAGGUAGUUCAAUGGUUAAGAACAUUGGCUGCUCUUCCAAAGGGCCUGGGUCUGAUUCCCAGAGUCUCCA